rnacentral:rRNA from 1 species
UAUCAGCUUGUUGGUGAGGUAGUGGCUCACCAAGGCGACGACGGGUAGCCGGCCUGAGAGGGCGACCGGCCACACUGGGACUGAGACACGGCCCAGACUCCUACGGGAGGCAGCAGUGGGGAAUAUUGCACAAUGGGCGAAAGCCUGAUGCAGCGACGCCGCGUGAGGGAUGAAGGCCUUCGGGGUUGUAAACCUCUUUCAGCAGGGAAGAAGCGAAAGUGACGGUACCUGCAGAAGAAGCACCGGCUAACUACGUGCCAGCAGCCGCGGUAAUACGUAGGGUGCGAGCGUUGUCCGGAAUUAUUGGGCGUAAAGAGCUUGUAGGCGGUUUGUCGCGUCUGCUGUGAAAAUCCGGGGCUCAACCCCGGACUUGCAGUGGGUACGGGCAGACUAGAGUGUGGUAGGGGAGACUGGAAUUCCUGGUGUAGCGGUGAAAUGCGCAGAUAUCAGGAGGAACACCAAUGGCGAAGGCAGGUCUCUGGGGCCACCACUGACGCUGAGAAGCGAAAGCGUGGG